CAACUUUUCACUCUCAGCCUCUGGUGCUCCUGAGCGGGGAAGGGAAAUAUUCAACAAGGCUGGUCAGAGAGCUUGACUUAGUAUCCAGAUCCAGUCCCUGAGAUGGGUGCUAAUGGGUCUUGAAGUAUUAAAAUCGAAUGUAUUCCCCAACUGCGCUGAUGCUAUGGAAGUUACAAUAGUUCCUGGGUUAAAAAGAGAGCUUUCUUUUAUCUCCAGAGGCUGAUCCCACUUAGACCCUUCCUAUGCCUGGUUUUGCCAUAAAUCCAGAACAAUAAUCCCCGCUAUGCUGAAAUAUUCACAAGGGGAAUAUCACCGCUGUUAUUUAAGGAAUGCCACAAAAAAAGAAGACAUGGAAAUGCAUGGAGCUCAAGUCUCGGGUACGGCUCGCUUGGGGAAGAAAUGCAUUUUCAGAAAACCACUUCCAGCUGAUGAAACAGGAGGUCAGAGUCCUGGCCAAAGUCAGAAGAUGCAGCUGUGUUUGGGAAGAGGCACCUGUAGAUCUGGGGACCUCACCCUGAGAAACCUGGUGGCCAGGGAAGUGUAAGCCUGACUGACACAGUGAAAAACCCAAUGAAAGGUGAGCUCUGUGUGUUUUACUUCUGACAUGUUUCCAGGUGAGUUAAUAAAAACUCAUUUCAGUUAAUCUACAUCCGUUGGGUAUUGUCUGUGUGUCUUUGUGGCUGAGUGAUGCUUUGGUCA